rnacentral:rRNA from 1 species
UGGGGAAUAUUGGGCAAUGGGCGAAAGCCUGACCCAGCAACGCCGCGUGAAGGAAGAAGGCCUUCGGGUUGUAAACUUCUUUGACCAGGGACGAAAAAAAUGACGGUACCUGGAAAACAAGCCACGGCUAACUACGUGCCAGCAGCCGCGGUAAUACGUAGGUGGCAAGCGUUAUCCGGAUUUACUGGGUGUAAAGGGCGUGUAGGCGGUUUUGUAAGUCGGAUGUGAAAUUCCCAGGCUUAACCUGGGAGCUGCAUCCGAAACUACAGAACUUGAGUACUGGAGAGGAUAGUGGAAUUCCUAGUGUAGCGGUAAAAUGCGUAGAUAUUAGGAGGAACAUCAGUGGCGAAGGCGACUAUCUGGACAGUAACUGACGCUGAGGCGCGAAAGCGUGGGGAGCAAACA